GUAGUGAUGAUCUAAUCUGAAGCUACAUGAAGUUUGGAGGUGUGUAGUGAUGAUCUAAUUUGAAGCUACAUGAAGUUUGGAGGUGUGUAGUGAUGAACUAAUCUGAAGCUACAUGAAGUUUGGAGGUGUGUAGUGAUGAUCUAAUCUGAAGCUACAUGAAGUUUGGAGGUGUGUAGUGAUGAUCUAAACUGAAGCUACAUGAAGUUUGGAGGUGUGUAGUGAUGAUCUAAUCUGAAGCUACAUGAAGUUUGGAGGUGUGUAGUGAUGAACUAAUCUGAAGCUACAUGAAGUUUGGAGGUGUGUAGUGAUGAACUAAUCUGAAGCUACAUGAAGUUUGGAGGUGUGUAGUGAUGAUCUAAUCUGAAGCUACAUGAAGUUUGGAGGUGUGUAGUGAUGAUCUAAUCUGAAGCUACAUGAAGUUUGGAGGUGUGUCGUGAUGAUCUAAUCUGAAGCUACAUGAAGUUUGGAGGUGAGUAGUGAUGAUUUAAUCUGAAGCCAUAGCUAUAUAAAUAGAUUCUUCUCUUACUCACUGAUU